UAAACCAUUUCAUACAUAACAUCAUAAUAAUGAAGUAAUAUAGUUCAUUGUUCAACUUCAUCACAUUGGAUUUGAUAAGUGAAUACUUAAAAACAAAAUUACAAAAGUCGGAAACACAAAGUCAUGAAAUUUCAGGCAUAUUAUGAUCCCUCGCCAUUUUAUUUGCAAUCCUUGUCCUAAGCAUGUUUAUUCCAGGUGAAUCAUGCAAUGUAUCAUCUGCAACCUCCAAUUCUGUAGGUCCGCAUGGAUAUUCCGAACAGAGCAAGGGAAAAAUAAUAUGUCUUCGUGGAUUGGCACCGGCAAGGCGGAACUUUGGAUGGAUCCACCGAAGUUCUCAAAGCAUCAGUGUUCACCUGAGAAUGAAUCAACCAAUUGAGGAUGUACCUUAAGUAAAGAAAAAUUCAAGACAAGCAAUAAGGCAACAACGAAACAACACCCUCCAUUCUCUGCAAAUCCAUAACUUAAAGAGAAAAAAU
rnacentral:lncRNA from 1 species